rnacentral:rRNA from 1 species
UAAAGUGGAUUAGCGGCGGACGGGUGAGUAACACGUGAGUAACCUGCCUUAGACAUUGGGAUAGCCUCGGGAAACCGGGAUUAAUACCAAAUAAAAUCAUAAUGACACAUGUCAUAACGAUCAAAACUCCGGUGGUCUAAGAUGGACUCGCGUCCCAUUAGCUAGUUGGUAGAGUAAAAGCCUACCAAGGCGACGAUGGGUAGCCGGCCUGAGAGGGUGAACGGCCACAUUGGAACUGAGAAACGGCCCAA